rnacentral:rRNA from 1 species
UGGGGAAUAUUGCGCAAUGGGCGAAAGCCUGACGCAGCGACGCCGCGUGAGGGAUGAAGGCCUUCGGGUCGUAAACCUCUGUCAGGAGGGAAGAACCGUCUGGGGAUUAACAGUCUCCGGGCCUGACGGUACCUCCAGAGGAAGCACCGGCUAACUCCGUGCCAGCAGCCGCGGUAAUACGGAGGGUGCGAGCGUUAAUCGGAAUCACUGGGCGUAAAGCGCGCGUAGGCGGCUUGCCAAGUCGGAUGUGAAAGCCCUCGGCUCAACCGGGGAACUGCAUUCGAAACUGGCAGGCUGGAGUCCCGGAGAGGGUGGCGGAAUUCCCGGUGUAGGAGUGAAAUCCGUAGAUAUCGGGAGGAACACCAGUGGCGAAGGCGGCCACCUGGACGGUGACUGACGCUGAGGUGCGAAAGCGUGGGGAGCAAACA